AAAAAACUGAAAAAUUCAAUUGGUCCCGUGUGCGGUUAUUCGCGUGAUUUUAUUGAUCUUAAAUGACUGUCAAGUUUUUUAAAAGUUUUAAGUACCGAGUCAUGUCUAAAGCAAUUCAAAUUUUUCAUUACAUGCAAAUAUAAAAAUUAAAUCCUUCUUAAUCACAUUAAUCAGCGUCGGAAAAGCUCGUGUUUACGUUCGAGCAAUUUCUCGACGGAGUUAUGUUAUUAACAUCAUAAAUCGAAACGGAAAUAUUUUCGUCCGUAAAUCUACUUCGAUUUACCGAUGUGCUACCUGUUCUAAUGAGUUGUAAAAUUCGUACUAUCUAAGCGCCUCGAAACUGGUUAAGGUUGUUACCUAAAAUUUGUCUCGUGAGAACGUUAAAAUGGAAAAUAACGCGAAAAAUGAAGAUUGUGAAAUUCAGGGGAUUAAUAUAGUGAGCAAGAAAGAAGACAGUUCAUCCCAAACUGUACAAAAUUCUUCAGACGCAAAAGUUCCCGUGGAUUCUAAGAAUACUCAAGUUCGUGUCGUCCGAGGAACAAAAAAGAUAAAAUUAGACGUUGGUGAUGGUAAUAACUUGGAAAAAAAAGAUUCCAAGGAUGAAGAAAACAAUACAGAGGUGAAAGUAAAAUCUUUGAAAAGAUCUUGUGAAUUAUGGUCCAUGGAGGAUAAAAAUACCUUUUUCAAAGCUUUAAACGAGUAUGGAAAAGACUUUGAUGCUUUACAAAGUUAUUUCUUGAGUCAGGGAAAGAAAAAAGGUUUACCAGAUGUUGUGAUAAAAAAUAAGGAACAGAUUAGGCAUUUUUAUUACAGAACUUGGCUAAAAAUAUCGAAGCACCUAAAAUUUUCAGAAGAUGUAAAAAAAACUUCGCAGGAAUUGUAUGGAUUAAUUAAUUAUGGUGAACUUAGAAGAAAGUUACCACGAAUAUAUGAAAAGGUACAGUUGAAAUUAAAUGAGUUGGUUUAUUGGGGUUCAACACAAGUCAGACUUAGAGGAAGAACUAUGAGAAUUAAAACACCUAUAUGUAGAGCACUGAGAAAACUGAAUCAACUAGAAGAUUGGCAAGAAGAAAUUAAACUUCCCCCUAGGAUAACAAUAGAAUUAAGGCCCCGUAAUAAUAUGGCAUGGUGGCAAGUGCAAGCAUCUUCGAUGAAUCCAAGAGUACGCACUCUAUUACCUAUACAGAGACGUUUGUCUAGUUUAUUAAUAUUUCUGCAACAAAGAUGGAGACCUGCAAAGUAUAACACAUUCCCCAAUUUAGAAAAUGCAGUUGCUAAUGAAAUGAAAGAUAAUCGGUUAUUACGAGUAGCACCACCUGAAGGGAGCAAAAUUGCUUUGCCAAUGGUGAACCUUGGAGAGUAUCUAACCAGCAACAGUGUCAGUUUAAAUUCUUAUGAAAAACGUCUAGGAUUGAAAAGUUCCAGAAUGGACCUAUUAGGCUCAGAACAAUACAUAAAAGGAGUUGGAAAGAAAGGAAUUAAGAAAAACAAAGUAGACAAAAAAUGCAUGAGCCGUACAGAGGAUAACUGUACCAUGCCGGACAAUAAUAGUGAUAUAGAUGCAAUAGAAUCUAGCAGUAAUGUUGCAGAAAGGCCGUCGACUGUUAGUAACACCGAAAAAGCUAAUCCAGAGCAAAAAACAGAAUUUAACAGAUUUCCGGGAAGGGAAACUAUUGAAAGAAUUCGGAAGGGAUGGAACAUCGAGGAAGCAAACACCAUUACUGUGGGGGACCUCUUUUUGAUGUUUGGUCGCGAAUCGAAAGUUACGCUGGAAUAUUGGUGGGACUGGAAUCAUCGGGAACAACACGUUGUAGAGUCUACAUCAACAACUUUACGCGAUGAUAAUUUGUGUCUUACCUUGCAAAAGCUAUUAUCUAUAGCAAAACAUAGUUAUGGCACGAGUAAAGUAUAUGAUAAUACUUCUGGAAGUAAUGAAACUGUGAUUUCCUCUCGAAUACUUUCGACGAAAGCAUCGACCUUUAAAAGACCUUUAAUUCCACAAACUUAUCAAAAGAUUGGAACACCAGAUGCUUUCAAAACGCAGUUAGAUAAGUUUACAACACGUUUCAGUAAACGAGGUAGAACCGUGCGGCAAAAAAGUCUUAUUGUACAAAGAGUAUUGCCAAUAAUAUCUACUACAAGCAAUGCACCAGAAGACGUAACUUCUAAUAAUCAAGAAGCAAAUAAAAUAAAUGACCCUCCUAUAAAUAAUGAUGAUCAACAAAAUGAUAAAUCGCCAUCCAUAAUUAUAAAUGUACCACAGGAAAAAAAUUUUUUGGAUGAACUUGAAGCAGCAAGAGUUCCGAAACCUACGAAUUCCAUUAUAACAAGUGCAACGCAAAUACUUAAAGAGGGAGAACAUCAAUGGUUGAAUAGUGAGGUAGCAGAUUUUUCAUUAAGUAGUUUCCUAGGUCAAUUAGAGUCCCCCAUGAAAAUCUCACAGAGAAGUCAAAAUGAAAAUAAUAUAGAAGAUAGUCGACCAUCGUCCGAUGUCGUUUCACAUAUGCAAUGCUUGAUGGGAGAGAGUAGCGUUGAUUAUAUGGCGAAAUUUGCAAACCUUGCAUCGCAGAUAGCAUCUGACGAUAACAAAAAAUAAAAGUAUAAAUAAUUGACUAGUUUUGCACUAAUUUUCAUAUGAGCAACUAUCUAAAAUUAUGUAAAUGUGAUGAUACAUGGGAGCAUGUAAUGAUAUUUAGACUGAUUAAUUUAUCUCUUUGAUAUUGGCUUUUACAGUCGACUGUUAUAAUAAUACUAAUACUAAUAAUAAUGAUAACGAAAAUAAUAAUAUAUGGAAAAUAAAGUAAUUCAUAUGCAUAUACAAACUUCCUGUAUGAUUUCACUUUUCUAUGAUUAGCAAUUUAUAAAGUAUGUAUUAUAUAUAUAUUAUUUAACACUUUGUUCAGCAUAAAAUGCUUAGGCAUAUCUAUUCUGAAUAUUCAUUAAUUUUUUAUUGUAUUUUUUUCUAUGAUACAGGAUGCAAAAUUAAUUUAUAUAGCAAGUUCAAGUUCUUAAUCUUGCAUCAAUAAUUCAUGAAUGUUCAUAAAUAUUUCAUCCUACGUUUGAUGCUAAAGGUUUAUUGAAAACUGCACAAAUGCGGGAGGAAUACGUUUAUAGGUGAUAUUUAGUAUCCUUAUUUAACCCACAAAGAUGACGCGUCAUCUGUUUAUGGAAUCAUUUAGGCUAGUUCUCGUGUAUGACUAUCACUAUUGCGUUGCAAUCUCAUGUAACUAAUUAAGUAUGUUGAAAGAAAAAAAACAAAUCCCCGUUUAUAACUUCCUUAACUAAAAGAAGUAACAAAAUCCAGGUAUAUAUAAACUCCUCCUAUUUUUCUCGUAUCAUAAGUUCCACUAAUUACGUAUAUAUAGAAUGUGAGAAAGAUGAAUAUGUGAUUUUCCCUGGACGUAAGCACCUUCUUUGAGUGAACUGAACUGGUUUCACUCAUCUCAUCGAUCACAGAAGAAUAAAUCGUUAACUAUCUAUGCUUUCUUUCCAGAAAAAAAUGUAACAUACAAUUACACAUAAAAAUUCGCACACAAAUAAUAUUUGUUAUCUUUUCCUUUAAAGUCAUAAACAUAAUUAUAUGAAU